GAAGGAAGCACAUCUGCAACGCAUUUACGUGCUGUUCACCUUUGAGACCGCGCGGCUGGAUGGAGGCGGUGUUGCUUUUUUCCGGUACACUUGACCUUGAACGUGACCAUGACCGGAGGCAUUGUCUGAGAGAUGGCUCGGCCCUCUUCAGCGCCAACUUCCUUCCUAGAUCACCUAGGCUGGGUGGGAUUCCAUUUAGACCAUUUGCCUGUGUUUUGUGGCAUCUCCACUAUAAGUCAGGGAUCCAAGGCUCUGGUUCUCUGAGCCUCACCUGGCUGUAGGACUCGGUUUCUGGAUAAUAGGUAAGAGAGUUUCUUUUGCCAUCACUGGUCAGAGUUUGGUCAGUCCAGCCUCAGGCUAUGCCUCUGUGCCCGGCUGCUGUAGGAUCAUUUCUCCUGAUUGAAUCCAAGCGAGCUCUCCCUCUCUGUUCACUCUGUGCCUCUGUUCCUUAAGUGGCCCAGACAUGGCACAGGUUGAGAGGAACCGACAGAGAGGUUCAGGAUUAGUCAGAUGGGGUCAGCCUUGAACUUGGACCUUGGGUACAGCUGAGGUUGGGGCUUUGGGGCCUGGCAGGGUGGGGAUGAGCAGGUAUGGACAGGGUCCUACACAGCCAAGCGUUCUGGGCAGGUUGACACGGGCAAGGUGGGGCCCAGGGUGGUGUGGGGCCCAAGGCCCGGGGCUGGGCUAUACCUUCGCGGUUCCCUAGGAGGAUGCAAGAUUCUCUUUAGAACAGGACCACCAGGUCAGACAGAGCUCACACCACGGGGCAUCAAGACCUCUUUGCUGGAAGAUUGCUGGAAGUGAAAAAAUGGCGAAGGGUGGAGCGCCUGGG
rnacentral:lncRNA from 1 species